GGCAACCCUGACGGAGCAACGCCGCGUGCGGGAAGACGGCCUGUGGGUUGUAAACCGCUUUUCUCAGGGAAGAAGAACUGACGGUACCUGAGGAAUCAGCAUCGGCUAACUCCGUGCCAGCAGCCGCGGUAAUACGGAGGAUGCAAGCGUUAUCCGGAAUUAUUGGGCGUAAAGCGUCCGCAGGCGGCUUUUCAAGUCUGCUGUUAAAGGUCGGGGCUCAACUCCGGUUCGGCAGUGGAAACUGAAAGGCUAGAGUGCAGUAGGGGUAGAGGGAAUUCCCAGUGUAGCGGUGAAAUGCGUAGAUAUUGGGAAGAACACCAGUGGCGAAGGCGCUCUACUGGGCCGUAACUGACGCUGAGGGACGAAAGCUAGGGGAGCG
rnacentral:rRNA from 1 species